UACGUAGGGUGCGAGCGUUAAUCGGAAUUACUGGGCGUAAAGCGUGCGCAGGCGGCGAUGCAAGACAGGUGUGAAAUCCCCGGGCUUAACCUGGGAACUGCACUUGUAACUGCAUGGCUAGAGUGCGUCAGAGGGGGGUGGAAUUCCGCGUGUAGCAGUGAAAUGCGUAGAGAUGCGGAGGAACACCGAUGGCGAAGGCAGCCCCCUGGGAUGACACUGACGCUCAGGCACGAAAGCGUGGGGAGCAAACAGGAUUGGAUACCCUGGUAGUCCACGCCCUAAACGAUGUCAACUAGUUGUCGGGGAUUCAUUUCCUUGGUAACGCAGCUAACGCGUGAAGUUGACCGCCUGGGGAGUACGGCCGCAAGGUUAAA
rnacentral:rRNA from 1 species